AUGGUCGAUUCCCCCUCCGGCAGAGUGCCGGCGAAGGCUCCAAGAUGGGAUCUCACGGAUACAGAAGGUUACGGUGGUGGAAAUUGUGUUUCGUGGUGCUCCUGGAUGUUUUCGGUGUCCGUAGGUAUAUAUAGGAGGAAGAAGUACGUCGGUGGACGCCCGAGGGGCCCACGAGACAGGGGGCGCGCCCUACAGGGGGGGGGGGGCGCCCUCCUAUCUCGUGGGAGCCUCGGGAGCUUCUUGACUUGCACUCCAAGCUGUCCGUAUCAGAUUUGUUCCAAAAAUAAUGCUCCCGAAGGUUUCACUCCGUUUGGACUCCGUUUGAUAUUCCUUUUCUUCAAAAUACUGAAAUAG
rnacentral:rRNA from 1 species